GCAUGAAGCAUGAAAUAAUUGGGGGAAAUGAGGACAUGAUGUGCAUACCAAAAUAGCAGCAAAACUGUAUGAAUUUGGCGGCUAAUAACAGAACAAUUCCAGAAUGAAUCAAGCUUGAACAACAAGAAGACGACUCUUAAAAUCGGUAAUUCAUGGAAACUCUCGCUCUCUCCUCCACUUCAAUCACCACCACACUCUCCUAUUCCAGAAUUACAACAACCCUAUCAACGCCUACAAGAAGAAUCAAAUUCAAUUCACUCAAAUCAUUUCACUACCAACCAUUAUUCCUAAAUCUCCCUCCCAAAUCAUCACUCUCUCUCCUCAAUCUCUCCCGUAGUCGUCGCCAAUUCGUCGUCAAUUCCUCUGAUUCGCACCAUCACCAUCACCACCACCACCACCACGAUCACGACCACCACGAUGAUCACCAUCAUCACAGCCACCAUCACCACGGUGGCGGUGAGCUCACGGAGUCGCAGAAGGCGUUUGUUCGGUUUGCUAAGACGAUUAGAUGGACGGACGCGGCUAAUUUCUUAAGAGAGAACUUGGAGCUGUGUUGCUGCUCGGCUGUGCUCUUUCUCGCAGCUGCUGUUUCUCCUUACCUGGUUGCUAAGCAGCAUGUCAAGUCUCUUCAGCUCCUUUUUACUUCUGUUGCGUUUCCUCUAGUUGCGGUAUCAGCAUCAUUCGAUGCUCUCAUAGAUAUAGCCGGUGGGAAAAUUAAUAUCCAUGUACUUAUGGCUCUUGCAGCCUUUGCAUCAGUCUUUAUGGGUAACACAUUAGAAGGGGGGUUGCUUCUUACAAUGUUUAAUUUGUCUCACAUUGCUGAGGAGUAUUUUACCAGCCGCUCAAAGGUUGAUGUGAGGGAGUUGAAAGAAAAUUAUCCGGACGUUGCACUUGUGCUAGACUUAAACAAUGAAAACACGUUUAAUUUCUCUGAUUUGACAUACCAUGAAACCCCUGUGAAGAACUUAGAAGUUGGUUCGUACAUAUUGGUCAAAGCUGGUGAGUCGGUGCCAGUAGAUUGUGAAGUUUUCAGAGGAAGAUCAACAAUUACUAUAGAGCACUUGACUGGUGAAGUCAAACCAGUGGAAAGGAUAGUUGGGGACAGCAUCCCUGGUGGUGCUCGAAAUCUAGACGGUAUGCUGAUAUUAAAGGCAAAAAAGACAUGGAAAGACUCGAUGUUGAACAAGAUUGUACAAUUGACAGAAGAAGCUCAAUUGAGAAAGCCACAGCUUCAACGGUGGCUGGAUAGAUUUGGAGAAGGUUACAGCAAAACAGUUGUAUUUUUGUCAGUGGCUAUUGCCCUUGUUGGGCCAUUUCUUUUCAAGUGGCCAUUUAUUGGCACAACAGUUUGCCGAGGGUCAGUCUACAGGGCGUUAGGGCUUAUGGUCGCAGCAUCACCUUGCGCAUUGGCCGUAGCUCCUUUGGCAUAUGCUACUGCAAUCAGUGCUUGUGCUAAAAAGGGCUUAUUACUAAAAGGAGGGCAUGUAUUAGACGCUCUAGCUUCAUGCCAGACUGUUGCAUUUGACAAGACUGGUACUCUGACAACUGGAGAAUUCACCUGUAAAGCUAUUGAACCAGUACAUGGACAUGUUGGUGGUAAUCAAAAGAAUUUUGUCUCUUGUUGCGUCCCUAGCUGUGAGAAAGAAGCUCUUGCGGUGGCAGCUGCUAUGGAAAAGGGUACUACUCACCCUAUCGGAAGAGCUGUUGUAAAUCACAGUGCCGGGCAAGACCUUCCUUUUGUUUCAGUCGAAAGCUUUGUAAAUUUGCCUGGCAGAGGUCUUUCUGCAACAUUGUCACGAAUGGAGCCAGCAAUUGAAGGUGGUGAAUUAGUAAAAGCAUCACUUGGUUCUGUAGAAUAUGUUGCCUCACUAUUUAAGUCCGACGAUGAAUCGAGAAAGAUCAAGGAAGCUGUAACCACUUCUGCCUACGGAAAUGAUCUUGUACGAGCUGCUCUGUCCAUCAAUAAUAGAAAGGUAACAAUAUUUCACUUCGAGGACAAGCCUCGUCAUGGGGCAGUUGAUGUUAUUACAGAACUUAAAGAAAAAGCAAAACUUCAUGUAAUGAUGUUAACUGGUGACCAUGAGUCAAGUGCCUGGCGCGUUGCCAAAGCUGUUGGCAUUAAUGAAGUUCAUUGUAGCCUAAAGCCUGAGGAUAAACUAAAUCAUGUGACUAGUAUCUCAAGAGACACAGGGGGAGGUCUUAUAAUGGUUGGCGACGGUAUCAAUGAUGCUCCUGCCCUUGCUGCUGCUACCGUAGGGAUUGUGCUAGCUCAACGUGCUAGUGCAACUGCUAUAGCUGUUGCAGAUGUGCUUUUACUGCAGGACAAUAUUUCUGCCGUUCCCUUCUGUAUUGCCAAGUCUUACCAAACAGCUUCCCUUGUGAAACAAAAUGUAGCACUUGCAUUGUUUAGCAUUGGUAUAGCCUCUCUUACAUCAGUGAUGGGGUUUCUUCCGCUGUGGCUAACGGUACUGUUGCAUGAAGGUGGGACUCUUCUAGUUUGUCUUAAUUCUAUUCGUGCUCUGAAUGACCCGACAUGGUCAUGGAAGGAGGAUAUCAUGCACCAUGUUCAAAACUUGAAGUAUGGAUUUAUGGGCCUUGGGAAGCAGGACAACAACCAGAACAACAUCCAGGCUGUAUCCUUGUAGCUAACAUCAAUUCAAAUUGUAGUACCAGUACAUUUAUUGGCUGGAAAUAAGUAUUCAGGAGUUUUGAGGGCAGGUAACGUUAGCAACCGAUUGGGUAGCCGAUCAUUGUUGUUGGCACAUGUUACAUUCGAUGAGUCAGGUUGCUGAACCAAGGGAUCAAGAUGAUUAUUUGUACCAAGGGAUCAAGAUGAUUAUUUGUCUGUAAUCCUGUAGAAACUCCACCUUGAUUGGUUGAUUGCUCCAAAAACCAAUUCUUUAUCCUCGGGUAAAUUCAACCAGGUCAGCUGCUAAGUUAAAAGAUCAAGUGGUGGAAUGUGGAAUUAUUGAAUCCUGUCCUUGUUAGUUUCAUAGUUGGAGUGAUUAUUCAUAAUAUCCUAGGGAAAUAUUAUUAUUAUUAUUCUCAACAGAAUUCCAGAUUGAUUAGAAUUUAGAACCUAUUGUGAAGAAAAAAGAAAAAAAGAUUUGAACUUUAAACA